rnacentral:tRNA from 1 species
GGAGGUGUCCAGGAUCCUGGUGGGCCUCCCCGCCUUCAAAGCGGGUGGGACGGGGAAUCCCCGUCCGGCGGGUUCGAUUCCCGUCCACCUCC